CCUCUUGUCUCGUGGGCUCGGAGAUGUGUAUAAGAGACAGUAGCAAUACCUAGCGGCAGACGGGUGCGUAACAUGUGGGAAUCUGCCUUUUGGUUCGGAACAACAUGGGGAAACCUGUGCUAAUACCGGAUAAGUCCUAACGGAGAAAGUUUUAAUGCCAAAAGAUGAGCCCGCAUUUGAUUAGCUUGUUGGUGAGGUAAAAGCUCACCAAGGCUAUAAUCAAUAGCUGAUUUGAGAGGAUGAUCAGCCACACUGGGACUGAGAUACGGCCCAGACUCCUACGGGAGGCAGCAGUGGGGAAUCUUGCACAAUGGGCGAAAGCCUGAUGCAGCGAUGCCGCGUGAGUGAAGAAGGCCUUUGGGUUGUAAAGCUCUUUUGUCGGGAAAGAUAAUGACUGUACCCGAAGAAUAAGGUCCGGCUAACUUCGUGCCAGCAGCCGCGGUAAUACGAAGGGACCUAGCGUAGUUCGGAAUUACUGGGCGUAAAGAGUAUGUAGGCGGCUAGAUAAGUUAAUUGUGAAAGCCCAAAGCUUAACUUUGGAACUGCAAUUAAAACUAUUUAGCUGGAGUAUGAUAGAGGAAAGCGGAAUACAUAGUGUAGAGGUGAAAUUCGUAGAUAUUAUGUAGAACACCAGUUGCGAAGGCGGCUUUCUGGAUCAUUACUGACGCUGAGAUACGAAAGUAUGGGUAGCGAAGAGGAUUAGAUACCCUCGUAGUCCAUACCAUAAACGAUGAUUAUUAAAUGUGGGGAAUUAUUUCUCUGUAUUAUAGCUAACGCGUUAAAUAAUCCGCCUGGGGAGUACGACCGCAAGGUUAAAACUCAAAUGAAUUGACGGGGACCCG
rnacentral:rRNA from 1 species